rnacentral:tRNA from 1 species
AACUUUAUCAUUUCAGUGGUUAGAGCUUAGGUCUCGUAAACGAAAGGUUGCGGGAUCGAAUCCCGCUAGAGCUG